CGGGACUAUCCUGUUCACCAGCACCACGCACAUAACCAGCUUCGUUAUCCAUCCAGCAGAUUCAUUUGUCCCGUUGGUCCUGGAACACACGUCUAUCUCGCCGAUCGUGCAUCCAGAUGUCAGAUAUUCUACGUGUGUUACGGUGAAAAGAUUGGCGUACCGAUGAUGUGCCCAAACGGAACACUUUUCAGUGAACAACUACAGGUCUGCGAUUGGUGGUUCAAUGUUGCCUGCUAAUCUUUAUCAUCAUGUAUGUAAAUACAUAUCAUAUUAUACUUUUAUAAUAAAAAAAACUUGUUUCUAAAGGUCAAUAAGGUUA
rnacentral:misc_RNA from 1 species